AUCGGGACAGCCGCUCGCUGCAGCUACUCUACGUUGCGGCUGCAGCUGCAGCUAGCUUUGCAGCAGCCCAGCCGUUCGGCUGCAGGCCCAAGUAGCAGCAGCUGCAGCCUGCAGCCCAACAACUCGGCUGCAGAGCAAGCAUCUUCUCUUGUGAUGAACCAUUCCUAUUUGUAAGUCACGCAGAUGCUAGAAAGAUCAAAGGAGCGAAGCAGAUAGGGAGAGACGCUCCUCUUAAGGUUUGGAAUUCGGACGCCGCCCUUCGUAUUCGCCUUCCGUGAAGGUUGCCGGCGCAUCAAGGGUGCCAAAUUAGGUCAGCGACGCCUCCCUCACCCCUUUCCCAAUCGGCGGCCAGCAUUCUCGGGAGGCGACAGCAACAUCGCAGAUCGCACCUCAAACCUUCGGCAUGUGCUCAUUCGGGAUGUGGGAAGCUCCACCGAAGCCCACAGAGUACUUUCCCAAGAAGAGGAAUCUGGUAAGUAGGCUUCGAGAUGAUUAGCACUAGUUGUGUUGUGUGUUUUGAUUUGCUACCGCGAUAUGUUUUCUAGUGAAAAUAAUCAGCUUCUGCAAUGAUGUGACUACUAUACUUGAUGAUUAUUUCUUACUUGUGCUCUUUGUAACUAUUAUUCAGAGUUAGGGGGUGUUUGGGAGGAGGGGGUUAAAUUUUAGCCCCCGUCACAUCGAAUGUUUGGACACCAAUUAUCGAAUGUUUGGACACCAAUUAGGAGUAUUAAAUCUAGACUAAUUACACAACCCCUAGGCUAAAUCGCGAGACGAAUCUAUUAAGCCUAAUUAGUCCAUGAUUUGACAAUGUGGUGCUACAGUAACCAUUCACUAAUGAUGGAUUAAUUAGGUUUAAUAGAUUCGUCUCGUGAUUUAACCUAGGGGUUCUGCAAUUAGUUUUAUAAUUAGCUUAUGUUUAGUCCUCCUAAUUAGUAUCCGAACAUCCGAUAUGACAGGGCUAAAGUUUAGUCCACUCCUCCCAAACACCCCCUUAGAUUUGGUAUUUGUACCUGUGCUAUUUCAGAAUCGACCUACAGAUCUAUUUCACACUAAUAUGUCUACUGAAAUCUCGAUUUAUUUCUGUGUUGAGUCUUGGACGGGGAAUCAGUGUGCAUUAAUAUGUUUAGUUGUCAAAUUACAGCCAUUUUGAAUUGCUGUUUAAAUAAACAGUAGCGCUCCAGCUAGUUAUCGUUGGCUGGCUGCAAGAGCUGUUCUUUGGCUGCAACGUUUGUUGGCUGGCUGCAGCUGCUGUAGUGGCUGCUGCAGCUGCAGCUGAGCUGCAGCCAGCACAACCGAGCGCUUCGGAUGGUCUGGCUCCCUAUAUGCAACACGUCUUUGUUUGGUUGGUGUUUGUAUGGAGCCAGGUUAGUUGGAGAAUCUGAUUGGUUGCCUGUCUAGCUGCAUUUCUUGAGUGUAUGCGCGCUUCCCAAAAGCUGGUCACUGCACCGCCAGAGCCUGGCUGUUAGGGGAAUAGUCUGGCAGUCCACCACGAAGUAGAUCAAUGUAGUAGAUUGUGUGGAGGGGAUCGCCGCGCCUAAAGCUAGAUGGAUGAAUACAAGGAUAUAAGGGACUCUACCAAGUUCGAGCCACCAGAGGUGUAAUACCCUACGUCUUGUGCUCGAGGUUGUAUUCUCAGCGUGUAGCGUAUUGAAUAUGACUUGGAUUUUUGAGGGGUUCCUGCAGCCCUUAUAUAGUGGGGGGGAGGGGGGGCAGGGUUACAUAUUUAAUUCGAUCUAAUCCUAGUCGAUUACAAGGAAAUCUACUACCUUUCAGUACAAGUUAUCUCUUUGCAUAUUUAAACAUGUCUAUCUGUAACUAUAUCUCUUUAUGCCGAUCCUUAGUAUUGAUCCGUACACCUAUCCCGAAUCCCCCUCAUAUGCAGUGCUCCAUUUGAAGGGUGGCUAGGUCCAUCCAAAUGGUACCCAGGGGAUAUAUCCCCCACACUGACUCUGAGGAAACAAGGUGUUCCUGCAUAUUUGUGGAGCCAAACUCAAGGAGCCUUUUUGCACAUAACGGACCAGGCCAGCUACCGAGCAUAAGCAACCAAUCAUCACGUCCUCGCAUCGCGAGAGCCUGGUUGGGGCUGUAUACGGACAACCAGCCCCAAAAUAGAUACGUCUUUAUUUUCUCUAUCCAAUUCCACAUUCGCAUUCGACAAUAUCUAACACCAUCCGUAUACGAUUAUAUGAAAUUAUUAGUUAUCUCUAUAACUAAUGAUAAAUGAUGUUAAUUUGAAUUAAUAAUGAUAGUAUAUCAUUGGAACUAUUCGAAAG
rnacentral:lncRNA from 1 species